CCUACGGGGGGCUGCAGUGGGGGAUAUUGGACAAUGGGGGAAACCCUGAUCCAGCGACGCCGCGUGAGUGAAGAAGUAUUUCGGUAUGUAAAGCUCUAUCAGCAGGGAAGAAAGAAAGGACGGUACCGGAGUAAGAAGCCGCGGCUAACUACGUGCCAGCAGCCGCGGUAAUACGUAGGGGGCAAGAGUGAUCCGGAAUUACUGGGUGUAAAGGGAGCGUAGACGGUAAUGCAAGGCUGGAGUGAAAGGCGGGGGACCACCACCCGGACUGCUCUGGAAACUGUGUAACUGGAGUGCAGGAGAGGCAUGCGGCAUUCCUAGUGUCGCGGUGCAAUGCGUCGCUAUUAGGAGGCACACCAGUGGCGAAGGCGGCCUGCUGGACUGUACCUGCCGUUGAGGCUCGAUAGCGUGGGGAGCAAACAGGAUUAGAUACCCUUGUAGUC
rnacentral:rRNA from 1 species